GAAGGCUGAGGCAGGAGACUCGCUUGAACACAGGACUUGGAGGCUGCAGUGAGCCGAGAUCGCACUACUGCACUCUAACCUGCGCCACAGAGGAGAAUCAAAAGUUAUUUCAGUUUGAGUGUGAGCCUCAGCAAGAAUAGAAUGCUAGCAGGAAGAAAAUGACCCAUACUGUCUGGAUUUUACCUGGUGGGUCCAGUUUCAAAUAUUCUUUCUUGUCACAGUAUGAAUCCUGAAUUUUUCAUAAAAUAUGCGCCCCCAGACAUAUAAGUGGUUCUCUUGGUGCAUACUAAAUGCAGAUAAGACUCUGUAAUUGUAUUUUUACAGAAAGUCAUUAAAUCGUCACAAAACCUCCUUGAAGGGGGUAGUACUCCAUUUUAUAGAAUUAGAAAAUGAGACACAAAAGGAGUGAAUUGUCUAAGGUUACUAAAAAAAUUAUAAAGCCUAAAGUUAACUCCAAAUCCAGCAUUCUUAAAGCUGUUCCAUAGCUUCCUAACCCUGCUCCAUUUUGCCUCCCAAUCAAUUGCCAAGAUUUAGCGACAAAGAUAGUGUAUAACCUUUAAAGAAAAAUGCCACCGUCUGUUUCUUCAAAGAAAAAUGCUUUGUAGAUUCUGGGAUGAGAGGGCCAUUACCUGAGAAUUAAUUAGAUUAUGUGCUGUGUUUCAGAUUGCCUGAUGGUAGUAGACAAGAAGACCCUGGGCUUAAAUGCCAUUGAAUAUUUAUAAAAAUUAGGAAAGGCAAGUAAACAGUCCCUCCUACCAGAGAUGGAAGCCUUCUUCUUGCUGAUAAGGAAGGUGUUAGAGGAGCAGUCAUUGAGGAUGGAGAUUGAAAGCAUGGCAAAAUGAGGAAACCACUGACAAGUGAAGAGUUUGCACAGUGGAAGACCACCUUGACCAUCUCAUGACUUUAUACAGGAAUCAGGUGGGUAAGUGUUCCUUUAAAGUGAUUUUGUCGUAGAAGAGUCAUCUGAAAUGACUCUUAUGAUGGAGGAAAGGAAAGAAAUGAAAUCAAUAUUCAUGAUUAUUUAAAAUGACUUAAAAGCUAAGUGUAAUAUACAGAGUAAGUCCUUUUCCUAGUAUAAAAAUAGUGCCAGAAACUAUAUUUGUACAAAUACAUUGAAAAGGUAUAAGAAUACAAAUAGUUAUUAACAGUGGCUAGUGAUGCCUCAUAAGGUUUUCUUUUCCUAAACUGUGAUAGAAAUUUAUAUUUUCAACUAUUUACAUUGCUUUCAACAACAUUCAUUAAGACAUGUUUUCACAGGCUUAUGGUAAGUAUAUGGAAUGGCAAAGUGAACUUUAAUACUUUCUUCUUCCCUCUCUGUAGUAGAGCAGAAGGGUCCAAAACUGUGCACAAUUUAACAGUCCAGAAGAACUGUGUAACCUUUACCUUACUAGCAUAUGGA